rnacentral:rRNA from 1 species
UAAGGAAUAUUGGUCAAUGGACGCAAGUCUGAACCAGCCAUGCCGCGUGAAGGAUGAAGGUCCUCUGGAUUGUAAACUUCUUUUAUCUGGGACGAAAACGGGAUUUUUAUCUCAAUUGACGGUACCAGAGGAAUAAGCACCGGCUAACUCCGUGCCAGCAGCCGCGGUAAUACGGAGGGUGCGAGCGUUAUCCGGAUUCACUGGGUUUAAAGGGUGCGUAGGUGGGCAGAUAAGUCAGUGGUGAAAUCUUCCGGCUAAACCGGAAAAUUGCCGUUGAUACUAUUUGUCUUGAAUAUUGUGGAGGUAAGCGGAAUAUGUCAUGUAGCGGUGAAAUGCUUAGAUAUGACAUAGAACACCAAUUGCGAAGGCAGCUUACUAUAUAAUUAUUGACACUGAGGCACGAAAGCGUGGGUAGCGAACA